UACGAAGGGUGCUAGCGUUGUUCGGAAUUAUUGGGCGUAAAGCGUGCGUAGGCGGCUUAAUAAGUCAGCUGUGAAAGCCCAGGGCUUAACCUUGGAAUUGCAGUUGAAACUAUUAUGCUAGAGUAUGGCGGGGGAUAGUGGAAUUCUUAGUGUAGGGGUGAAAUCCGUAGAUAUUAAGAGGAACACCAGUGGCGAAAGCGACUAUCUACACCAUUACUGACGCUGAGGUACGAAAGCGUGGGGAGCAAACAGG
rnacentral:rRNA from 1 species